CAUGCAGGCUGUGUUUGUGUGUUGUGUUCUCUCUGUGCAGGGUGUGACUGGCAGGUGCUGCUGCACAGGUGUUGCUCAUCUGAGAGCAAUCAGCUGGGCUACUUAUGGAGUGGAAACCCAGAAUUAGGCGUCAGCUCGUUAUUCUCACUUGCUCACCCUUUGCUGAAGGAAGUCAUGGAACCUUUCUGGUCUCCGUUUUCAUUCGUGUCAUGUUCAGAGGAGUUUGGGGACCCUAGCCUCGACACCUCAGCCCUGAGCCUCCUCUGUGCUUCCAACUCCAAGCCCAGCUUCUCAGGAGUCACCUGAGAACCACCCGUCAACCUGCCUCUCCACCCUCGAAUGCUAAAACUCUCCAACCAUAGUGGAGUUUCCUCGAAGAGAAGAAACAAAGCAUUUCAUCCUCCGAAAACUGUUCACAUCCUUUCAGCCUCAAGCCACCGUGGAGAAGGACUUAUUUUCCCCCGGUCUUGCCAAGAACCCAACCCCUCUCCAGCCCUGGUUCCAGUCCGACCUUUAUCCGUGUUUCUAAAUAAACUGUUAAAACGC